rnacentral:lncRNA from 1 species
CCCCCGCCCCCGUGGCACGGCCAUUGUCCCACCGUGAUGUGGCCACCGCCCUGCCACAGCAUGGCCACCAGAGUGCCACCACCCUCCAGUCCAUGGCCACCAUCCCACUGUGCCUUGGCCACCACCCUCCAGUCCAUGGCCACCCCCUUGCCAUUCCAUGGCCACCCCCUUGCCACUCCAUGGCCACCACGUUCCCCUCCAUGGCCACCAAAGUGCCACCACCCUCCACUCCAUGACCCCCAUCCCACUGUGACAUGGCCACCAAAGUGUCACGCCAUGGCCACCACCCUCCACUCCAUGGCCACCAUCCCACUGUGCCUUGGCCACCACCCUCCAGUCCAUGGCCACCCCCUUGCCACUCCAUGGCCACCACCCUCCCCUCCAUGGCCACCAAAGUGCCACCACCCUCCCCUCCAUGACCCCCAUCCCGUUGUUACUUGGCCACCACCCUCCCCUCCGUGGCCACCACCUUGCCUUGCCAUGGCCACCCCUCCUCCCCACGGCCCCCACCCCACCUCAUCGCUCCACAGCCACCACCUCGCCACGCCACGGCCACCACCCUGUCCCCGUCCCUGUCCCCAUCCCCGUACCCCGCAGCCGGGCCACCUCGGUGGUGGCCUCCUGCCACUGCUGCUCCUUGCCACGGCUGCUGGCGCGCAGCGCGGUGGCCUCCAGCUCCCAGCGGGCUCCCAGCUCCCGGCGCCUGGCCACCUCCUCCUGCAGGGUGGCUACCUCCCGCUGCCACGUGGCCACCUCGUCCCGCAGCCUGGUGGCCUCCCCCUGCCACGUGGCCGCCUCAUCCCGCAGCGUGGCCGCCUCGUCCUGCCACGUGGCCACCUCGUCCCGCAGCCUGGUUGCCUCCCGCUGCCACGUGGCCGCCUCAUCCCGCGCCGUGGCCGCCUCGUCCCGUGCCGUGGCCAGCGCCCGCUCCAGCUGACCCCGCUCGGCCGCCUGCCCGGCCUGCAGCGCGCCCAGCUCCGCCUGCAGCGUCCCCAAUGCCGCUGCGGGACACGGGGAGGGGACACGGGGGGGGGGCACGUCCAUGGGGUCCCCAUCCCAUGGGGUCCCCAUCCCAUGGGGUCACCGUCCCAUGGGGUGCCCAUCCCCACAGGGUGCCCAUCCCCAUGGGGUGCCCAUCCCAUGGGGUGUCCAUUUCUGGGGGUCCCUGUCCCCAUGGGGUCCCCAUCCCUGGGGAUACUGAUCCUAUGGGAUCUCCAUCCUAUGGGGGUGCUCAUCCAUGGGGGUCCCCAUCCCAUGGGGUACACAUGCCUGGGGGUACUGAUCCCUAGGGUCCCCGUCCCCAUGGGGUGCCCAUUCCUUGUGGUCCUGAUCCAUGGGGAUCCUAAUCCCUGGGGGUCCCAAUCCCUGGGAGUCCCUGUCCCCAUGGGUUCCCCAUCCCAAUCCCUGGGGGUCCCUGUGCCCAUGGGUUCCCCAUCCCAAUCCCUGGGGGUCCCAAUCCCUGGGGUCUCUGUCCCCAUGGGGUCCCUGUCCCCAUGGUGUCCCCACCCCAAUCCCUGGGGUCCCUGUCCCCAUGGGGUGCCCAUUCCUUGGGGUCCUAAUCCCAUGGGGUGCCCAUUCCUGGGGGGUCCCAGUCCCUGGGGGUCCCAAUCCCAUAGGGUCCCUUUCCCCAUGGGGUCCCCAUCCCAGGGGGAUCCCAAUCCCUGGGGGUCCCAGUCCCUUGGGGUCCCAAUCCCUGGGAGUCC